AUUGAACGCUGGCGGCAGGCCUAACACAUGCAAGUCGAACGAGUGGCGGACGGGUGAGGAAUGUCUGGGAAACUGCCCGAUGGAGGGAGAUAAGUACUGGAAACGGUAGCUAAUACCGCAUCCCAUCGGAUGUGCCCCGAUGGGAUUAGCUAGUAGGUGGGGGAACGGCGCACCUGGGCGACGAUCCCUAGCUGGUCUGAGGGGAUGACCAGCCAAACCGGAACUGUGACACGGUCCAGACGCCUACGGGAGGCAGCAGUGGGGAAUAUGGCACAAUGGGCUCAUGCCUGAUGCAGCCAUGCCGCGUGGAUGAAGAAGUCCUUCGGAUUGUAAAGUACUUUCAGCGAGGGGGCGUUACUCGCAGAAGAAGCACCGGCUAACUCCGUGCCAGCAGCCGCGGUAAUAC
rnacentral:rRNA from 1 species